rnacentral:rRNA from 1 species
GAUGAACGCUGGCGGCGUGCCUAAUACAUGCAAGUCGAGCGAACAGACGAGGAGCUUGCUCCUCUGACGUUAGCGGCGGACGGGUGAGUAACACGUGGAUAACCUACCUAUAAGACUGGGAUAACUUCGGGAAAACGGAGCUAAUACCGGAUAAUAUAUUGAACCGCAUGGUUCAAUAGUGAAAGACGGUUUUGCUGUCACUUAUAGAUGGAUCCGCGCCGCAUUAGCUAGUUGGUAAGGUAACGGCUUACCAAGGCGACGAUGCGUAGCCGACCUGAGAGGGUGAUCAGCCACACUGGAACUGAGACACGGUCCAGACUCCUACGGGAGGCAGCAGUGGGGAAUCUUCCGCAAUGGGCGAAAGCUUGACGGAGCAACGCCGCGUGAGUGAUGAAGGUCUUCGGAUCGUAAAGCUCUGUUAUUAGGAAAGAACAAAUGUGUAAGUAACUAUGCACGUCUUGACGGUACCUAAUCAGAAAGCCACGGCUAACUACGUG